UAUGCAAAACAGCACCUUGUUAAAAAAAAAAAAAGAAAGAAAGAAAGAAAGAAGAAAACACACCACCGUUGGCCCAACCCUUCAUUAGAGUAUAAUGCACCAGCCCGGGGCACACCCAGGGUGGAACCAGUGCCCAGGCUGGUCGGGUGUUAGGCUUCUGGCCUCCCUGGUGCUCGUCACACUAGCUCUGUCCCCACGCCCCCUGAGUGAGCUGUGCUGCUCCCCCAGUCUGUGCAGUGGGAGAUGACAGAGGAGCCCUUUGGGACCAAGAGGGGACAACGUGUACAGAACAGGACACAGGACACCCUGCAAGCCGAGGUCAGACCUUUGUUCUCAGCCUCAGCUCCACCCGUGUGCCACACCAGCUCUGUGCCCCAGUUUCUGUACGUGUAAAAUGGCACUAAUAAUAUCUGUCUCUUCCCCACUCCUCAGAGUGUGCAGAUGAGUGAGAUAAAUGUAAAGUGCUCAGAGCAUCAAUCAAGGAAGAGAGGCAAAUGAUGGGAGGCAGGAUAGUCAGAGGUCAGAGGCCAUACACUGAGGUUUGCCCAAGAUACCCACACUUGACUGACCAGUGGAGGCCUCCCAGGUCAGGUGAUGGUGUGGUGGAAGACAGUGGCAGCCAGGUAGAUAAAAGAAUUUACUAACACAGAUGUUAUCUGUGAUGCAGAAGAUGUCACUGUCAUCGGAAAAUAUUCCCACAUGUGCUAAGUGCUUUCAGCACUCAAGCGAGACAGGUGAUUCAGCAGACUGAUGAUGCCGACAAGAGCAGCUUAUGGGAGCAGAUGUGGCUCCCAUCCUGGAACCUCUGGGAUUCACUGCAAAUUCCAGACACCCAUCCUGUGGCUAGUAUUAUUCCAGACAGUAGCCCUAGAGAAAUCCCCAAGAGGUGGGCUGAAGGGAGAACUGGAGGCUUGGAAUUCCAACAUGGGGUGCCACGAUUUGCUGGGGCUAGAACUGGAAAACAAGGCCAUUACUGGGGACUUUCCUGGGGGAGAAGAAGGAAUCCCUGGCUCACAAAGGCUGAGAGGGCUGAGUUCUAGACUGAGCUCAGCCUCUUACUAUCCAUGUGACUUUGACUGAGCCAUUUCAUCUCUCAGGGCCUCAGUUUCCUCAUUUGUAACACAAGGAGUUGGGUUGAAUUACCUCUAAGAUCCCAUCACAUUUACAUCCUGAAGACAGUAUCAGAGGUCAGGGAAGAGACCAACAUCGGAAUAUUCUUAAAUGUAAUGCUCAAAGCCACCUGAACACAAUAGAGUGUGGAUGAGAACUUGUGUUGGGGAACUAUCAGAACAAGCUGUCCAGCCCUGCUUCCCAUAGCCGCACACAGCAUCCUGACCUCAAUGCCCUGACGGUCAGAGUAUGAGCCAGUGAAGUCCAAGUUGGGCAACUCGAUUCUUGGUCUAGUGCUUCUGCUGGCUGUAACUUCAGGCAAGGCAGUUAUCUUUUUGCCUUGCCUGUGUCUUCAUAGCUAAUCAUCUUUGCCUCCUCCUUGCCCCACGAGGAAGCUGUGAGAAUUCACUGAGUAAUGUGCAUAAAGCACUUAGCUUGCAAGGAGUGAAGAGUCCCACAUAAACAGAAGAUGAUGAUGCUUGUUGUGACAGCUGUUUGAUUCCCUUUGCUCUUCCCCAGCCCUUCAUUUGCUGCUGCCGGAAACCAACCUGUCGUGAGUCACCACUGUCUUGCUCUCAAGGUCGGUUCAGAGAAUUCCCCUUGAGCAUCGAGUUCAUGUCUAGCCUCAUGGCCAGAUGGCAAGACAUCAGAGAACAAGGCUGAGAAAACAUGAUGCCAAACUUCCCUAACACCUGAUUUCAUUUUGCUUUUUACCCACUAGACUGUGGGUUUCAUAAAGGCAGGGGCAUCUGGACUACCAUGCUGCCCAAGCUGAGGGGGCACCAUUGGCCAGCAUUCAGUUGGCACUCAGUAAACAUUGGUUGAAUAAUGAAUGAAGGAAAGGCACAAACUGCCCAGAUGAGAGUUGGGUGAAAGGAAGGAAACUAAUAUUUUUUUAAUGUGCACCCUGUGCCAAGAGUGUUUUAUAUUUUUAUUUCAUUUGUUCCUCUCCGCAGCCUGUGGAAUCAAAAUUAUUCUCUCACUUUAUGGUUGGGCAAACUGAGGCUCAAACAUGAAGUAGUUCACCAAGGUCUCACGCUAUGUCUGUAGUAGAUGUUGCAUUUGAACCUCCAGGACUGUCUGGCCAAAUUCCAGCCACAGUGCCUUGAAUGGGCGUGGGAUGCAGGCAACCCCUUGCACCAAGAUAAGCUGAGACACUUUCUUCAACAGGUGUUUGAUCUGGACCAGCCAAGCAAACAAGUACAAAUGGCCCAGACGGGCCCAGAUGGCCCUGGUUCCUAUAGGACUUGGCUUGGCUUGUCACGGAUCAGCAGGGUAGCAGCGUGGGAAGGGUGCUGCCUGUGAGCAAGAGGAAGGCCUUAUCAAAGCAGCCUCUUGGGCAGCACAUGCUGGCUGAGAAAGAACUCAUGUUUCAGGAGGUUCUCAAACCUCUCGGGGGAGCCAGUGGAGCCUGGGCUGUCCUUUCUCCCUUCCUUUUUGCCUAUUUUUACUCCCUACACUCCCAUCACAUACGAACACCCCAAACCCCUGAUACAAGGUUUCCCUGGCAAAUACACAGACACACAGUGUAUUUCUCCUUUACCAGUGAAACUCCUUGCUACUAACAAGCAAGAACACGGGCAAUACGAAUGACUGAAGAACACUGGGCCUUCACUCACCACUCCCUGCUGGGGCGUUUUCCUGGCGUGUGCAGCCCUGGCCUGGCUGCCCAGCCCUGCAGACUGACCAGGCUCAGCCCGUCCGUUUCUCAGCUUUGUUGACUUUCAUUAGUCCCUUGAUACAGGAGCAAUAAUCUCUGGUCUGAUAUCAGAAGGGACUUGUGCUUUUAAACACCUGCAAGGGGCCUGUUUGAGUGCGUGGUCCUUAGAAAAGCCCGUGAGGAGCAGUGCGUAUUUUCUCAGGCUGACAGCACUUGUAAAGGAAUUACUGGUGGUUGAGAGACACUUCCAGCUGCAUGUCUCUCCCAAGGUAUGAUGACUCCCCUCAAUGGGGCCCCAUAACUGCCAGGUGCCCUGUCAAUUGGCUAACUGCUCAAGGCUUCCCUAACCGCUGCUCAGAAUAGGGUGAUGGGGCUGGGUGAGCCCACAGAACCCUCUUGCUCUCUCCAGAGACCCAUCUUAGUCAGCCCUUCUGACCCCUAAGAGACGGUGUCUUGAUUAGAAUUCGCCCGGAGCUUUGCUCACUAAGACCUCCAGAAUAACUUCACUAAUCAGGGAGCCCAGGACCCAGACUUGUUCUUAAAUGUGUGCGGCCGCAUCCCAGCUCUGCCAGCUCCGACCGUAUCCAUGAGAUAGGGCUGCCCUAACAAAAUCCCACAGAAUUGAAUAUAUUUACAUAUUUAUACAGGCCUGUGGACCUUGCAAAGGAAUUAUUGACUGGUAGCAAUAAUCUGGGUGGCUUAAACAACAGAAAUGUAUUUCCUCACAGCCUGGAAGCUGGAAGUCCAAGAUCAAGGUGUCAGCAAGUUUCUUCUGAGGCCUCUCUCCUGGGCUUGAAGAUGCUUGACUUCUUGCUGUGGCUUUUUCUCCGUGUCCCCACCAUCCCAGAUCUUUCUGCCAGUAGGCUUUCUGAGGAAGACAGGACAGUUGUAUGCCUUAAGGAGGAACUGCGUAAUGAAUGUCAAGGACGGAGUGGGAAGCAGUAAAGAGCUCGCCGUGUCCUUGAGGAGCCAGCUGCACCUGCAGAAGAACAGACCCAGCUCCAGACCGUCCUCUCUGGAAUUCUCUCUCCUUACUUCCAAAGGCAUUGUUUGUAGCUUUUGAUUUAAACAGUUCCAAAUGAACUCAGGCCUC